rnacentral:rRNA from 1 species
CUCGAGGACGAACGCUGGCGGCGUGCUUAACACAUGCAAGUCGAACGGAGAGGCCCUGCUUUGUGGGGUGCUCGAGUGGCGAACGGGUGAGUAACACGUGAGUAACCUGCCCUUGACUUUGGGAUAACUUCAGGAAACUGGGGCUAAUACCGGAUUGGAGCUCCUGCUGCAUGGUGGGGGUUGGAAAGUUUCGGCGGUUGGGGAUGGACUCGCGGCUUAUCAGCUUGCUGGUGGGGUAGUGGCUUACCAAGGCUUUGACGGGUAGCCGGCCUGAGAGGGUGACCGGCCACAUUGGGACUGAGAUACGGCCCAGACUCCUACGGGAGGCAGCAGUGGGGAAUAUUGCACAAUGGGCGGAAGCCUGAUGCAGCAACGCCGCGUGCGGGAUGACGGCCUUCGGGUUGUAAACCGCUUUCGCCUGUGACGAAGCGUGAGUGACGGUAAUGGGUAAAGAAGCACCGGCUAACUACGUG